rnacentral:rRNA from 1 species
UACGGAGGGUGCAAGCGUUAUCCGGAUUUACUGGGUUUAAAGGGUGUGUAGGCGGGUAUUUAAGUCAGUGGUGAAAUCUCCGAGCUCAACUCGGAAACUGCCAUUGAUACUAUUUAUCUUGAAUAUUGUUGAGGUAGGCGGAAUAUGUCAUGUAGCGGUGAAAUGCUUAGAUAUGACAUAGAACACCGAUUGCGAAGGCAGCUUGCUAAACAAUUAUUGACGCUGAGGCACGAAGGCGUGGGGAUCAAACAGG